CCUCUCGUGGUUUAGAGGUAACACGCCCUAUUUAGUGAACAGGGAGUCGUGGGUUAGAUUCUCACCGAGAAGA
rfam:Aedes aegypti strain Liverpool supercont1.464 genomic scaffold, whole genome shotgun sequence.